GCAAUUAUACGGCGAAACUGCGAAUGGCUCAUUAUAUAAGUUAUCGUUUAUUUGAUAGUACCUUACUACUUGGAUAACCGUGGUAAUUCUAGAGCUAAUACAUGCUAAAAACCCCGACUUCGGAAGGGGUGUAUUUAUUAGAUUAAAAACCAAUGCCCUUCGGGGCUCCUUGGUGAUUCAUGAUAACUUCUCGAAUCGCAUGGCCUUGCGCCGGCGAUGGUUCAUUCAAAUUUCUUCCCUAUCAACUUUCGAUGUUUGGGUAUUGGCCAAACAUGGUUGCAACGGGUAACGGAGGGUUAGGGCUCGACCCCGGAGAAGGAGCCUGAGAAACGGCUACUACAUCCAAGGAAGGCAGCAGGCGCGCAAAUUACCCAAUCCCGACUCGGGGAGGUAGUGACAAUAAAUACUGAUACAGGGCUCUUUAGGGUCUUGUAAUUGGAAUGAGUACAAUUUAAAUCCCUUAACGAGGAACAAUUGGAGGGCAAGUCUGGUGCCAGCAGCCGCGGUAAUUCCAGCUCCAAUAGCGUAUAUUAAAGUUGUUGUGGUUAAAAAGCUCGUAGUUGAACCUUGGCCUCGGCCGGCCGGUCCGCCUCACCGCGUGCACUGGCUCGGCCGGGGCUUUCCCUCUGUGGAACCCCAUGCCCUUCACUGGGCGUGGCGGGGAAACAGGACUUUUACUUUGAAAAAAUUAGAGUGCUUCAGGCAGGCCUAUGCUCGAAUACAUUAGCAUGGAAUAAUAAAAUAGGACGUGCGGUUCUAUUUUGUUGGUUUCUAGGACCGCCGUAAUGAUUAAUAGGGACAGUCGGGGGCAUCAGUAUUCAAUUGUCAGAGGUGAAAUUCUUGGAUUUAUUGAAGACUAACUACUGCGAAAGCAUUUGCCAAGGAUGUUUUCAUUAAUCAGGAACGAAAGUUAGGGGAUCGAAGACGAUCAGAUACCGUCGUAGUCUUAACCAUAAACUAUGCCGACUAGGGAUCGGACGGUGUUAUUUUUUGACCCGUUCGGCACCUUACG
rnacentral:rRNA from 1 species